rnacentral:rRNA from 1 species
UACGAAGGGGCUAGCGUUGCUCGGAAUCACUGGGCGUAAAGGGUGCGUAGGCGGGUUUUAAGUCAGGGUGAAAUCCUGGAGCUCAACUCCAGAACUGCCUUUGAUACUGAAGAUCUUGAGUCCGGGAGAGGUGAGUGGAACUGCGAGUGUAGAGGUGAAAUUCGUAGAUAUUCGCAAGAACACCAGUGGCGAAGGCGGCUCACUGGCCCGGUACUGACGCUGAGGCACGAAAGCGUGGGAGCAAACAGG